rnacentral:misc_RNA from 1 species
UUAAGUUCAGCGGGUAUCCCUACCUGAUCCGAGGUCAACCUAGAAAAAUUUGGGGUUGCUGGCCAGCAUCUCCCCAGACCCUCAUACGCGAGAAAAUUACUACGCGUAGAGCUGAAGAGCACCGCCACUAGUUUUAAGGCCCGCCAGCUGGCGAAGCCCAACACCUAGCCAGGCUAGAUUGGUAUAAAUGACGCUCGAAC